rnacentral:rRNA from 1 species
AUACGGAGGGUGCAAGCGUUAAUCGGAAUUACUGGGCGUAAAGCGCGCGUAGGCGGCUCAGUCAGUCGGAUGUGAAAGCCCCGGGCUCAACCUGGGAAUUGCAUUCGAUACUGCUGAGCUAGAGUAUGGAAGAGGGAAGUGGAAUUCCGGGUGUAGCGGUGAAAUGCGUAGAUAUCCGGAGGAACACCAGUGGCGAAGGCGACUUCCUGGGCCAAUACUGACGCUGAGGUGCGAAAGCGUGGGGAGCAAACAGGAUUAGAAACCCCGGUAGUCC